GAGAGUGGGCGUCCACAUCAAAUUCUGGUGAAGCACGCCACGCCCCCGCCUGCCUCUCCUCGCCCCACUCUGUCUCCCGCAAUCCUCGCCUUCUCGCCCCAAAUUGUCGGGGCUCUCGGUCCUCGCCCACGCUCUCUAUGGAAGGAGAUCGCCUCCGCUGCACCCCAGCACUCUUGCCCCGGAUCGUGGUCGGGAGAGGAGGCGACAUCCGAAACACGGUGAGUGGAGAGGAUCCCGUUUGGCCCCUGGGUAGGUCGGCUUCCUUGUGCCCCGAAUCUCGGUCCUCGCCCACCCUCUCCAUGGAAGGGGAUUCCGUGUAUCGCGAGCGGAUCAUGGUCGGGAGAGGAGGUGGCAUCCAAAGCGCAGCGAGUGGAGAGGAUCUAGUUUGGCCCCUGAGUAGGUUGGCUUCCAUGUGCCCCGGAUCCCGGUCCUCGCCCACCCUGUGCCCUGGAUCUCGAUCCUCGCCCACCCUCUCCAUAGAAGGGGAUCCCGUGUAUCGCAAGCAGACCGUGGUCGGGAGAGGAGGCGGUAUCCGAAGCAUGACGAGGACUCCUGGUAGGUCUCAUUCAUAGGCACUCAAGAAUAAUAGCCUUAAUGCAGGAUGCUAAUUGCAUAUGAGAGCGGAUUGUUGGUUCUUUGGGAUGUAUCUGAGGACCAUGCAGUUUCUGUCAGAGGCUAUGGGGAUUUACGCAUGAAGGGUCAAAUCAAUGGUGCUCAGGGGGAUUCUGGUGCAGAUCAACUAAAUACUACUAUUGAUGACAGUGAAGAAGUAAGAGAAAUUUGCUUUCUUUGUUGGGCUUCAAGAGAUGGCUCAAUUGUUGCGGUGGGCUAUAUAACAGGUGACACACUUCUAUGGGAUAUGACUACAAAAUCCUCCAGACAAGAGAAGCAAAGUGAUGUUUCAUCUAAUGUUGUUAAGCUACAACUAGUCUCAGGGAGUAGUAGGCUGCCUGUUAUUGUCUUGCAUUGGUCUGCUGGGUCAGCAGUACAUUCUAAUAAAGGAGGGCAUCUUUUUGUUUAUGGCGGCGAUGAUAUGGGAUCUGAAGAAGUUCUCAUGGUUUGCCUAUUUUUUCUUACUCAUUAUUACAAUUUCUUUUGCUUGCCAUCUUAAAGGCUGCUGUGCACACAAUAUGCCUUCUUAGGUUUGCUGCUUUACAAAUUUGGUAAAGUGAAUUCCUAGCUUCCUGAACUGAAAUCAUGGUCACCUGGCUGUGAGCCUAUGACAUGUGUUUAGUGUAGAGACACAGUACUAGCUUGACAUGGCGAUAGGGCAACCCGGGUUUGCAUGAAACAUGAUCAACCAUGAGAGUUUCCUGCAAGUAUAAGAAUUGUUUCCUCAGGCAGAACCCAUGUUGUCGACCCAAACAAUUCUGAAGAUAUUUUUAGUUCAGGUCUCAGCAUCCAAAUAAUGUAUACAUACCUAUCAUAAUCACUUCCCUAAACAUGGAAGAAGAUAAUUGUUUCCGAAAUAUUGCACUGCAGAAAACUCAGCCUCCAUCAAUGACAAAAUUUCGCAUUCUCUUGCAGGUUCUUAGCUUGGAAUCAACUGCUGGAUUAGAAUCAGUGAGAUGCAUGUCACGAACUGAUCUCAAACUUGAUGGAUCAUUUGCUGACAUGAUUCUUAUUCCUGAUACUGGGGUUCUUGAUAAAAGCAGAAUUCUGCACCUUUUGUUUUGACAAAUCCUGGAUAGCUGAAUUUUUAUGACGGUGGCUCUCUAUUUUCUGUGCAAAACUCAAAAGAGGGAAAUCCUCUUCCUGAAGCACAGAAAUUUCAAGUCGCAAUUCCUACCCUUGAUCCCAACAUAACGGUCACUGGUCUUUAUUCGCUAACCAAAAGUGAAUUUCCAAAUAUUUCACUGAAGAAAUUUUGUGCUAGGAAAAAUGUUGGGCAUUUCAUAUCAGAGAACAUGAAAUGACCUUUGACUGGUGGGGUUCCAAAUGAGAUGUCACUGAACGAAGAUCAUGCUGUUGAAAGAAUAUAAAUUGCAGGCUACCAAGAUGGUUCUGUGAGUAUAUGGGAUGCAACAUUUCCUGUUCUAAUGCCAAUGUUUGUCUUGGAUGGUAAUGUCAGUCUCAUUUGUAUAUUUGUAGUAUUACUUGCAUUAUUCCUCAUUGGUUUAUAACUAACGGGUUAACCCCAAUCAAGUUGUAACUAUUCUUUACUACAGGUUGCUGAUGUUAAUUUGGAUGGAGCUAAUGCUUCUGUAUGAUCUCUAGCCUUUUGUUCAUUAAGCAUGACUUUAGCUGUUGGGACAACAAGUGGUCUGUUGUGCAUCUAUAAACUCCGAGAACACAUUGGGGGUUCAAGCUUCCAUUUUGUGAGUGAAUUUAAGCAAGAAGGUAAAUAUUUCAUACGGAACCUGAUUAUAUAUGCCUAAAGCUUCACCUGCUGCCUAUUCCCCAACAAUGUUGUCAUCUUUGUUAAGACAGUUUUAUGCCAAUUUCACUUCUUCUCACCAGCACGUACAAGAUGUCUGUCGUGACUGGUCAUCUAACAAGCAGAAUCCAUAACAUGCUUCUUUGGUAGAGAGAGACAGUAAAUUGGUACUGUCACUUACGUGAAUGUUUAUUAUUGAAAUGAAAAUACAUUUGAUUAUGAUCGGACACUUAUAAAAACUUGACUUGCGGGGCUAAGACAACCUCCGAGCAUUGUGUGAUAGAGAAGACCUCUCAUACAUGCCAAAACAACCUUGCCCACGUGAGCGACCGCGACCUGGUCCGGGUCAUAGUCACAAAGUUUGUGGAUCGAUAGGGUUGAGGAACAUCGUACGCUACGUGUGAGAGAUUUUUACAUGGUGGGAACAAAAAUGACCUUGCGUACCCGGGUCGAGGGUCGCUACCACUGUACCCAUUUCUUGUGACUAUGGUUUUGGUCUUCGACCCGUGCUUUGGUGUGGUGGCAGGCGAGGGGAUUUUUUAACCCCAGUCUGAAAUAAUGUGUUUGUUUUUAUGUAAUCUUUGUGCUCUAAUAUACUGCUCCGAUUGAUAUGUUGGCCUGCUAAAGCUAUUAUUUUCAGUUUGCUUGCAUGGAACUCAUUAUUUUUACUAGCUCUGUUUUAUUUAAACUUAUAGUAGCACAUGUGUCCAUUAUUGAUAUUGAUUAAUCUAGCUCCUAUCAUUAUGUUCACUAUAUUGAAUUAGUUUUGACAAAAACCCUGGUAAGCUGGAAUCACAUUGUUUUGUAGAUAUUUUUCUUCAAUAUAAAUGCUUAAACUUAACCUGAUAAAUUCAUCUACAUGCUCUUUCAAAUGGCAAGCCCACUAUUGUUGAGUUUUAUGCAAAUUGGUGUGAAGUCUGCAGGGAACAAGCUCCAUAUAUCUACAAAGUUGAACAACAAUACAAAGACUGUGGAAUUGUGAGGUCUGUCCAUGCUGCCUGCUAGAAAUGGGAAAAUAUGUUAGCAGUAGCAACAAGUGUUUUUGGCCUUUGAUCUUCUGGAGGUCAUGUGGUUGCAGUUCUACCGAUACUUGUUCUACUUGGGCAAAAUUAGGACAAUUCAGUUGGAGUACACUGAUGCUAAAGAAAGCCUCCUGCAAGUUGCUCGUAAGGCACCAACAACAGCCCAUGGUUUUCGGAUCCAGUGCAACAAAUGGGUUAUCAUAGAGAGGCUGCUGCUUGGUUGGAACAGAACAAGACAUUGUGAUUUUCUUUGACUGUUUUGUAAGGAAUCAGUGAAGGAGGCUGAAUUGUGGAAUACUAUUGUGAUGAACAUAGUGAAGCAGGCUGAGUUGUUGCGUGCUUCUGGUUCUGGUCUCAGGGAGUUACUUGGAAGGGGUUUGUCUCUCCGACUCUGCUACUGCUUUUUAGGCACUGCUUUUUUUUGAAGCACACAUUGUUGUAGCUGAAACCUCCAUAAUUUCUUCACCGGUUUUAUUUAAUCUCUUGUUGCAAUUAUAGGUGUACACAAAAACUAAUUUUUCAUUUGCUUGUAUUACUAAACUUAAUUUCACAAUCAGCCUUGUAGCACUUUGAGAUUCUGUUGUUUAUUUCUUGUAUUAGAUAUUCUUCUGAGUACUGGAAUAAAGUCAAUUUAUCAUUUUUCAUCAGUAACAUCUUGAGAGGCUGCUUCUUACAUACAAACCUAAAGAACCAGAGGAAAUUCUUGAGCCUGCUCCUCUUGAAGAGGAAAUGGCACCAGUUGAAGAUCAUGUUCUUGUACCACCUGUUAAUGAAGUUGUUUCACCUCCUCCCAAGACUGAGGUGUCCCGAUACUGGUGACUUACUGGUUGGGAAAAUUAUAAUAUGGUCUAAAUCUUAUGUGCUUGAUUCUAAAAUCUGAAGUUGUGUUCCUGGUGUGGAAAUAGAGUUGUUGGGCUAUUUGUGUGGGGUGUGGGUUGGCAUGUUCGGAGCUGUUCCUGGUUGGAACCAGUGAUUUUGCUACUCUUUUGACGGAUAAUUUGAGUUUGGAGUCGUCGAAUUUUGAAACAGAGGAGUGGGUUUACAUGUAAUGUUGGCAAACGGGAUCUGAAUUAUUAAUAAAGCAACACUGUUUCGCUGAUAUUUUUAGUUCCAAUCUCUACUUCUAAUUAUAUAUAUUUGUGAGAUAGAAUUAUGCAUUGUGUACUCACAUAAUAUUUUUCAUUGCAUUUGUGUGGCCAGGACGUUUGGAAACUUUAGACCACACGGUUUUUUAGUUCAAUCAUACUCAUAGUGCGACAAGUGAUUUACAAGGUGUCAACUAAUUACACUUAAACAUAAUAUAUCUAUGUUUUUUCUCAGACAAAAUUAUACUAUGUGUUACAUUUUCUUAUCAAAAAAUACAGUCUUGCGGCAAACAUUGCACACAAGAGAAAUGAAUCUCAGCCUUGUCCGUACUUUUGUUGAAAGGCGUGGCAAAACUUGAGUUAAUUAUGUGGUGGUUAUCGCAUGGUGUUGUGUAACUAUGAGUUUAUUAUUAUGUAUGAGUUCAUUUUAUGUUUUGUAGUUAAUGAUAGGGAAUUUUAUUUGUAGUAAAAGAUAAUCAUUAGCUAUUAUCAUGUCAAGAGCUUGUCUCACUUUAUUUGUCGGCAUGAUAUAUGUGCACGUACUUCCAACAUUGUAUUAUUGGUGUCUGACAUAUCACAAAAUUAAGUGCUAAUCCGAAAAUGCUUCAGCCCAUAGUGGCCCUUUCUAUAUUGAUUCUUUAGAAAUAAUUUGUGUGAUAUUAUAAUGUUUUGUUCGACACCAGUUUAUUCUAUUUGAGUCGGUGUAUUUAUAAUAAUAUUACAAAUUUAUAUCGUCGAUAUAAUAUUAGUUUUACGGUGAUAUUUUGUCAUGAAUUUUGCAUACCAUAAUGGUAUUUGUCGUUACCAGAAAAAUGUUUUAUACAAAUUUUUAACUCUCGUGGCAACGUACGGACAUAUCUAUACUACUAUUAAGAAACUAAGGAGGGUGUUUCUCCGUGCCCCCGCCUCCGUCUCUCGCCCGCGACCUCCCACACCACGCGCUAGCCCCCGCCCCCUCUCUCGACGCCCAAAUCCACGAUGGCUGAGCAGCGGUACCAGCGGAGGAAGGCGGCCUAGCCGAUGUAGGUGAGUAGCACGACGGGGACGAGUCCCGUGUAUCCUCUCCAGCGCCCGCCGCCACCGCUCGUCCUCCUCCACUGACAAGCCCGAGCCAUGUCACAUCCACACUGAGCUAGAUGGACCAAUUUGCUUGCUCGGCUGGGGUUACGGCAGAAGGAGGGAGAGCCAAUCGGUGAUGGUGGUGUUCACAAGGCCCGGGGAGAGGGCGACCAGCUUUGCCAUCGCAUGCAGCCUGCUCAGCCGCUUCGUCAACUAGAACGGUGUUGCGGCCACCGAGCUAGGCCUAAGGAUCAAAGGCGAGGUAGAGCAGCAGAGUGCGUCGGUGACAACCCAAAAGAGGAGGGCAAUGUGCAGCAAACCAAAAGUUGUUGCCUCAGAUGUGAAAUGUGAUGACCCAGAGCGGGAGGAAGUUUCCAAUAAAAAUGGGGAACUGGAGGAGUGUAACAAACGUGAAAUUUAUUUUUUGCACUCUAUAUGCUAUCUUAGAAGUUUCAAAAGUUUCUUGUUUGUGCGUAAUUCAAAAUUUACUGUUAGCCAUUGUUCCUGAACAACCCUUGAUUUUAUUUCUUGAAUGUGCACCCGAUUCA